rnacentral:lncRNA from 1 species
CUUAAACGGGCCCGGGCUUUUUCCAGCUGUUCAAUGGCUGUUUCCCAGAGUUCUUCUGAAUUUCGAAUAGUUCUCAAGAUUCUCUGUUUUCGAUUAUCUAAUAAAUCACUUAAUGAAAGUAGAUUCUCUUUCCAUUCAUUUCAAAAUGUCUAUGAUCUCUUCCCGAACCAAACAUGAAUCUUUCAAUUCAUUUGGCUCUCACACUCAAUUCCUUAUAGGAAAUUUCCCCAUAUUUAUUAUGGAAUGAGCCUAUCCUCUUUUCUCUAUUUCUAAAAAUACGGAAAAUGAUUAUCAAUACAAGACCCAAAUAUUGGGAGGACUCUUCUGACCAAACAAAUAAUUGUCAGCAAAGUUGUUUUUUUUCUUGAAAUCCAAAGAAUUCUUAUUAAUUUAUACGUAGGUCAUCAAAUCCGCAUUGUAGAAAAGUAGAAACGGAGGCGUUAAACAAAACACCUUUUUUCCUAUUUUUCAUCAUAAAGAGAAUUCAAGUCAUUUUAUCGACAUGAGUGUUCUAUAUCGAAAAAAUUCUAAUUUCCCCAUUAACAUAGUGGUAGAAAGAAUACUAGACUGCGUCGAAACUUCAAACUCGUUAGCUUUAACCAUAGUAAUGUUCCAAAAUUCUUGGUUGAUAGAGAAUCAAAGUAGAUUUACCAAUGAAUCGCGAAAUUCUAUGGUUCUUAACUACUUUUUUCGUUAUUUAGUAAGAAGUCAUUCGCCGGAUCAUGCACAUUUUUCUAGUUAUAACAAAAAAAGUGCAGUUGGGUGGAUCCAAUCUAUUCUUUGAAAUAAACAACUAAAAACACCUUUUUUCCUAUUUUUCAUCAUAAAGAGAAUUCAAGUCAUUUUAUCGACAUGAGUGUUCUAUAUCGAAAAAAUUCUAAUUUCCCUAUUAACAUAGUGGUAGAAAGAAUACUAGACUGCGUAGAAACUUCAAACUCGUUAGCUUUAACCAUAGUAAUGUUCCAAAAUUCUUGGUUGAUAGAGAAUCAAAGUAGAUUUACCAAUGAAUCGCGAAAUGCUAUGGUUCUUAACUACUUUUUUCGUUAUUUAGUGAGAAGUCAUUCGCCGGAUCAUGCACAUUUUUCUAGUUAUAACAAAAAAAGUGCAGUUGGGUGGAUCCAAUCUAUUCUUUGAAAUAAACAACUCGCACACACUCCCUUUCCAAAAAAAAUCAAUACACCAAGCACUGCACUUAGAUUUAUUAGAUUUGUUGCUAAAAUAUCGGUAUCAAACCCGAAACUUCCGUCGGUUAUAUUUUGCAUAUGAUCGCAUCUCCUCUUAUGGAUAGACUAAUUUUCUUUCUACGAUUCCAAGUUUUUUUUAUUCGUUUUUGUAUAUGAUAGUUUAUUCUAUAAUCGAAUUAUUGAAUAUGAAUAUAUCGACUUAUUCUAUUUUUAUUCUUACUAAUAAUGAAAAGUAGUAAGAAUAAAAAUAUACUAAGAAGACUAUUCUAUAUUUUGAAUUGGUUAGUCAAUUGAAAGAUUCCCUAUAAGAAUUAUACUUCUUAGAAGUAAAUACUUAGUUGUUUUCAACACUUUCUAAAUA